AAAAAUCCCUAAAAAAGGCUCUCAACCUUCCCCCUCUCCUCCGGGCACCAGCUUAAGGCCCGGUCAUCGGCCACCGCGCCGGCCACCGAUCUUCGGGCCGGCACCGCCGUAUGCGGUGGCCAAAAAAGGGAGAAUCUCAGAUCCGGUCUCUCAGAAGCCCCUAAACGCAAAUCCAGGCUCAAACCCUCAAAAGAUUCGAAGAAACACCUCAAAAGCCCAAGAAACCUUUUGAUUUCCGACCGUCUUUCCUCGGAGACAGUUCCUCGGCCGUUCACAGCGAUCAGGGCUUAAAACCCAGGUUAUUUCUUUUCUUUUUGUAUUUAUAUUAUUUAUAUGUAUAUAAAUGAUAAAAAUAAAUACAUAUAAUAGAAAAAUAACAUAGAACAACAAGUAUCCACCUUUAAUCGAUUAUGCUCUCUGUAUUACGAAAAUAAAAGCCUCUGUUUUUUUUUUAUUUUCGAAUCCCCUGUUACAAUACAUGAAUGGCUCUUUUAUAACCGAAGUAUUAACAACAUAAAGAAACAAAUCUUUGUUUUGAUUUGCAAAUCUUCAAUUUCUUUCCAUAUAUGUUUGUUUCUUCUUCUUUUUUUUGUUUUGAUGUGCAGAUGAAGAUUCGGGAAGGCAGCUCAUGCGAAGGGUGCGAGACUUGCGGUUGCGGCGCGCCCUAGGGUUCCAUCUGCUCCCUGAGCUUUGAUUUGGGCUACGGUUUGAUUCGGGCCUCUGUUUUGUUUAGACUUGGGCCAUAUAGGCUGAUUGUAAAUCGGGCCCUUUAAACCCGGGCCAAAAUAAGGUAUUACAAGUAUUAAAAAAAAAAGAAAAAAGAAAAAUAGAUUUAAGUUAAGAAAAUUUGACAAGCAAACACACAUAUUAUUUUUUGUCCUAAACUUGGGUUCAACUCAAAGGAGAAAAGUGACAAAAAGUAAAAAAGAGAAAUAAAGAAAAGUGAUCCAAUAAUACUAGCUUGAAAAUAAAGAAAAAUAUUACUUUAAUAAAAAAAUAAUAUUUAGUAUAUUUUUAGUGG
rnacentral:lncRNA from 1 species